rnacentral:rRNA from 1 species
AACGAACGCUGGCGGCAUGCCUAACACAUGCAAGUCGAACGGGAUCCUGGUUUCGGCCAGGUGAGAGUGGCGGACGGGUGAGUAACGCGUGGGAACCUGCCCAGUGGUGGGGGAUAACUGCGGGAAACUGCAGCUAAUACCGCAUGAGCCCGCAAGGGGAAAGAUUGAUCGCCAUUGGAGGGGCCCGCGUUCGAUUAGGUAGUUGGUGAGGUAACGGCUCACCAAGCCUACGAUCGAUAGCUGGUCUGAGAGGAUGAUCAGCCACACUGGGACUGAGAUACGGCCCAGACUCCUACGGGAGGCAGCAGUGGGGAAUAUUGGACAAUGGGGGCAACCCUGAUCCAGCAAUGCCGCGUGAGUGAUGAAGG